rnacentral:rRNA from 1 species
AUUGAACGCUGGCGGCAUGCCUUACACAUGCAAGUCGAACGGUAACAGGUCUUCGGAUGCUGACGAGUGGCGAACGGGUGAGUAAUACAUCGGAACGUGCCUAGUAGUGGGGGAUAACUACUCGAAAGAGUGGCUAAUACCGCAUGAGAUCUACGGAUGAAAGUAGGGGAUCGCAAGACCUUGUGCUACUAGAGCGGUCGAUGGCAGAUUAGGUAGUUGGUGGGAUAAAAGCUUACCAAGCCGACGAUCUGUAGCUGGUCUGAGAGGACGAUCAGCCACACUGGGACUGAGACACGGCCCAGACUCCUACGGGAGGCAGCAGUGGGGAAUUUUGGACAAUGGGCGAAAGCCUGAUCCAGCAUGCCGCGUGCAGGAUGAAGGCCUUCGGGUUGUAAACUGCUUUUGUACGGAACGAAAAGCCCCGGGUUAAUACCCUGGGGUCACGACGGUACCGUAAGAAUAAGCACCGGCUAACUACGUGCCAGCCGCCGCCGUAA